rnacentral:misc_RNA from 1 species
UUUGAACAUUUCUCGCACUUCCACUUCUUUUCUCCAUGCUUUCUGCUAUAGUGCUUCUUUAUUCCUGUGAGGUCGCCAAGGGCUCUCGUUGGAUCGUGGUGUACACAGCUCUUUUCAGGGCAGAUAUACACCUUCUUUCGAACCUCUUUGGUUGAUCUUUGCUUCAGCUUCCAUGGAAGAUUGUGACCUCUUCUGUGAAGUUGAAGGUUUUGGUCUCUUUGGAAGCCCUUAUUGCAGAUUUCGCAAAUGAAUCGGUUUGUUGCCAUGAGAGAUUUUGGCGAUAAGGCAAUUACUUCGGCAUCUGGAUCUGGUGUUCCCGGUAAAUUUCUCCUCUUCUUCACUGAAUUUGUAGUAGGGUUAGGGUUAGGGUUUGGAGUUGGUUCUUGAUGAACAAAGCCUCUGAAGGUAGAGGAGGGAACAGAAAACCCAUCUUCAGACAUCAUUGUAAUUGGUAUACUGAAGCUGAAAGAAAGUGGGUUGAGUCCUAAACUAGCUAAAAGAGAAGAAGUAACUUGAGGGAGAGGUAGAGCAGUAGCUACCAAAUUAAACCAAGAAAUAAAAUAAAAACAAAAGCUUCACUGCUCAGCAUAAUCCCAACAAAUCUCUCAAAAAUUCUUCCCCUCUAAAAGAAAGAAUCCCAAUUUAGACUUGUCUUCAAUUCCUUAAAUUGCACCCUUACCUUAAUUCAAAACUCAUGUUUGCUUUGCUUCCCUUGAAGCCAAGACAAAUACACCAAACAAAACGACACUGCUAACUAUAGA